rnacentral:rRNA from 1 species
GGUUAAGUUAGAAAGGGCGCACGGUGGAUGCCUUGGCACUAGGAGCCGAUGAAGGACGGGACGAACACCGAUAUGCUUCGGGGAGCUGUAAGCAAGCUUUGAUCCGGAGAUUUCCGAAUGGGGAAACCCACCACUCGUAAUGGAGUGGUAUCCAUAUCUGAAUACAUAGGAUAUGAGAAGGCAGACCCGGGGAACUGAAACAUCUAAGUACCCGGAGGAAGAGAAAGCAAAUGCGAUUCCCUGAGUAGCGGCGAGCGAAACGGGACCAGCCCAAACCAAGAGGCUUGCCUCUUGGGGUUGUAGGACACUCUGUACGGAGUUACAAAGGAACGAGGUAGAUGAAGAGGUCUGGAAAGGCCCGCCAUAGAAGGUAACAGCCCUGUAGUCAAAACUUCGUUCUCUCCUGAGUGGAUCCUGAGUACGGCGGAACACGUGAAAUUCCGUCGGAAUCCGGGAGGACCAUCUCCCAAGGCUAAAUACUCCCUAGUGACCGAUAGUGAACCAGUACCGUGAGGGAAAGGUGAAAAGCACCCCGGAAGGGGAGUGAAAGAGAUCCUGAAACCGUGUGCCUACAAGUAGUCAGAGCCCGUUAACGGGUGAUGGCGUGCCUUUUGUAGAAUGAACCGGCGAGUUACGAUCCCGUGCAAGGUUAAGCAGAAGAUGCGGAGCCGCAGCGAAAGCGAGUCUGAAUAGGGCGAAUUGAGUACGUGGUCGUAGACCCGAAACCAGGUGAUCUACCCAUGUCCAGGGUGAAGUUCAGGUAACACUGAAUGGAGGCCCGAACCCACGCACGUUGAAAAGUGCGGGGAUGAGGUGUGGGUAGGGGUGAAAUGCCAAUCGAACCUGGAGAUAGCUGGUUCUCUCCGAAAUAGCUUUAGGGCUAGCCUCAAGGUAAGAGUCUCGGAGGUAGAGCACUGAUUGGACUAGGGGCCCCUACCGGGUUACCGAAUUCAGUCAAACUCCGAAUGCCGAUGACUUAUCCUUGGGAGUCAGACUGCGAGUGAUAAGAUCCGUAGUCGAAAGGGAAACAGCCCAGACUGCCAGCUAAGGUCCCAAAGUAUACGUUAAGUGGAAAAGGAUGUGGAGUUGCUUAGACAACCAGGAUGUUGGCUUAGAAGCAGCCACCAUUUAAAGAGUGCGUAAUAGCUCACUGGUCGAGUGACUCUGCGCCGAAAAUGUACCGGGGCUAAACGUAUCACCGAAGCUGCGGACUGUUCUUCGAACAGUGGUAGGAGAGCGUUCUAAGGGCUGUGAAGCAAGACCGGAAGGACUUGUGGAGCGCUUAGAAGUGAGAAUGCCGGUAUGAGUAGCGAAAGAGGGGUGAGAAUCCCCUCCACCGAAUGCCUAAGGUUUCCUGAGGAAGGCUCGUCCGCUCAGGGUUAGUCGGGACCUAAGCCGAGGCCGAAAGGCGUAGGCGAUGGAUAACAGGUUGAUAUUCCUGUACCACCUCCUCACCAUUUGAGCAAUGGGGGGACGCAGGAGGAUAGGGUAAGCGCGGUAUUGGAUAUCCGCGUCCAAGCAGUUAGGCUGGGAAAUAGGCAAAUCCGUUUCCCGUGAAGGCUGAGCUGUGAUGGCGAGCGAAUUAUAGUAGCGAAGUUCCUGAUUCCACACUGCCAAGAAAAGCCUCUAGCGAGGUGAGAGGUGCCCGUACCGCAAACCGACACAGGUAGGCGAGGAGAGAAUCCUAAGGUGAUCGAGAGAACUCUCGUUAAGGAACUCGGCAAAAUGACCCCGUAACUUCGGGAGAAGGGGUGCUCUGUUAGGGUGCAAGCCCGAGAGAGCCGCAGUGAAUAGGCCCAGGCGACUGUUUAGCAAAAACACAGGUCUCUGCGAAGCCGUAAGGCGAAGUAUAGGGGCUGACGCCUGCCCGGUGCUGGAAGGUUAAGAGGAGCGCUUAGCGUAAGCGAAGGUGCGAAUUGAAGCCCCAGUAAACGGCGGCCGUAACUAUAACGGUCCUAAGGUAGCGAAAUUCCUUGUCGGGUAAGUUCCGACCCGCACGAAAGGCGCAACGAUCUGGGCACUGUCUCAACGAGAGACUCGGUGAAAUUAUAGUACCUGUGAAGAUGCAGGUUACCCGCGACAGGACGGAAAGACCCCGUGGAGCUUUACUGCAGCCUGAUAUUGAAUGUUGGUACAGCUUGUACAGGAUAGGUAGGAGCCUUGGAAACCGGAGCGCCAGCUUCGGUGGAGGCAUCGGUGGGAUACUACCCUGGCUGUAUUGACCUUCUAACCCGCCGCCCUUAUCGGGCGGGGAGACAGUGUCAGGUGGGCAGUUUGACUGGGGCGGUCGCCUCCUAAAAGGUAACGGAGGCGCCCAAAGGUUCCCUCAGAAUGGUUGGAAAUCAUUCGCAGAGUGUAAAGGCACAAGGGAGCUUGACUGCGAGACCUACAAGUCGAGCAGGGACGAAAGUCGGGCUUAGUGAUCCGGUGGUUCCGCAUGGAAGGGCCAUCGCUCAACGGAUAAAAGCUACCCCGGGGAUAACAGGCUUAUCUCCCCCAAGAGUCCACAUCGACGGGGAGGUUUGGCACCUCGAUGUCGGCUCAUCGCAUCCUGGGGCUGUAGUCGGUCCCAAGGGUUGGGCUGUUCGCCCAUUAAAGCGGUACGCGAGCUGGGUUCAGAACGUCGUGAGACAGUUCGGUCCCUAUCCGUCGCGGGCGCAGGAAAUUUGAGAGGAGCUGUCCUUAGUACGAGAGGACCGGGAUGGACGCACCGCUGGUGUACCAGUUGUUCUGCCAAGGGCAUCGCUGGGUAGCUAUGUGCGGACGGGAUAAGUGCUGAAAGCAUCUAAGCAUGAAGCCCCCCUCAAGAUGAGAUUUCCCAUUCCGCAAGGAAGUAAGAUCCCUGAAAGAUGAUCAGGUUGAUAGGUCUGAGGUGGAAGUGUGGCGACACAUGGAGCUGACAGAUACUAAUCGAUCGAGGACUUAACCAA